GUUACUGAAAUUCUGCAGACUCAGAUAAACUCAGAUAACAACAAAAGCAAGUUUGUGUUUAUGAUCACUGACAUGAGGUAUGAAAACAUUUGAGUUCGUAUACUCAAAAAACUAUUUACAUUGUAUUCGUUUCCUUUUUGUUGGUUUCCAUUCUGUUAAAAAUCAUAAAGUGUUUUGCUUUUGUUUGUUGUGGUGUAAUUGAACCACAACAUCUUUGCUUUUUUUAUUGGUAGCAAAAUUGUCGUGCAGUGUACACUAUGGGGUAAUUUUGCAUUGCAAUUUUAUGAAUACUACAAGAACCAUGGGGAAGAUGUGAACAUUGUUGUUCUAUUACAAAACGCAAGGAUAAAGGCUGCGAAAGGUAAACGUUAUCGUGUUCUGUUGAUAAUUUAAAUACCCAAUGUAUUUGCUUCAUUAUGCUGAUAUUUAGUUGGUGUUGAAGGAGGUUUUCCUUUAAAUGUAUCCAAUGCUUGGAGUGGCACAAAGCUGAUCAUUAAUGAUAUUAGUAAUGUUGAAAUUAAGAAGCUGAAGGAUAGCCUAAAUGCUGAACUGCCAAAGCUUUCUUCAUCAAGUUUGCAAGUUGAAACAACUCAAACCUCACAGUAUUCCGAUUUUGAUAAAUUUAUAUGGAAGGCCGAAGUCAUUAGUUUGGCUGAGAUCGCGAUGCUUAAACAAGAAACAACAUGUGUCACCAUAGCGAAGUUGGAGAAGUUUGAAGUUGGUAAUUCCGGUUGGUAUUACGAUGGUUGUGCCGAAUGUACCAAGAGCGUCGCUGUAAAAGAUGGCAAACUUAAGUGCUAUGCAAAUCACAUAAGUUCUGAACCCGUGCCAAGGUACAAGCUUGAAGUGUUGGGAGUUGAUGGUAAAUUCAAGUCCCGUUUCGUCUUUUGGGAUAGUGACUGUUUCAAGUUAAUUGGAAAAUCUGCUCUACAGAUGAAAAAUGAAUUAGU